CGGCCCUCCAGAUGUUUUGGACUACAUCUCCCUUGAUGCUUUGCUAGCAUUAUAAGAGAUGUAGUCCAAAACAUCUGUAGGGCCG